GUACACGCUGUGACUAGCAUAUCAAUAAGCGGAGGAAAAGAAACUAACAAGGAUUCCCUUAGUAACGGCGAGUGAAGCGGGAAGAGCUCAAAUUUGAAAUCUUGAAAGGUCACCUUUCACGAAUUGUAGUUUAAAGAGGAGUUUUCUGUUACGAUCGUAAUAUAAGUUCUUUGGAGUAGGACAUCACAGAGGGUGAGAAUCCCGCCUAUGAUUGCGAUUUGUAGCUUUGUGAUACACUUUCAAAGAGUCGGGUUGUUUGGGAAUGCAGCCCAAAACGGGAGGUAAAUUUCUUCUAAGGCUAAAUAUUGGCGAGAGACCGAUAGCGAACAAGUACCGUGAGGGAAAGAUGAAAAGAACUUUGAAAAGAGAGUUAAAUAGUACGUGAAAUUGUCAAAAGGGAAGCGUUUAACACCAGUGUUGUUUUCUGAAAAUCAACCUCUGUUAGCUUUAUGCAUGUUUGUUUAGACCUAAUCAGCUAUCUUGCAUGUUCUAUUGUUUGCAGUGGUGCACUUUUCAGUUUACAGGUCAACAUCAGUUUUUUUUACCGUAAAAAAGUUAAAGAAAGGUAGCUCAUGGCUCCGGUCGUGAGUGUUAUAGUCUUUUUCCUAUGCGGUAGGAGAGACUGAGGUCUGCAGUGUAGGCUAUUUGGCUAGAUACUCAAGUGCUAUGUGAUACCAUUUCAUAAGCAACUUGUUGAUUAUGUUUUGUCUAUUGCAUACUCGCUUGUACUAUCAUACCUACGCUUAGGAUGUUGAGUAGCGACAUACGCAC
rnacentral:rRNA from 1 species